ACCGCCUUUUGUCCUAUUUCCUAUUCCUAUUAAUUUAUUUAAUUGGUUUGCAAAACCGGGUAUUAAUUGUUACUUGUAUAAGCUGUAACACUUUUCUAUUCGUUCAAACACAAAAUGGGUUUGUUUGUUUGUUUGUUACGCUAUGAACUGAUCAUCAUGACAUUUGCACGUUGUCAAGGGCACAAAAAAGACCACAAACCUUUUAUCCAGAAAAAAUAUUAUUCCCGAAGGACAUCAUUCUAUUUCUACAUGAAUGUCCCAUGGAUGCAGACAGCGGAUGACUAGUCGUUGUGGUGCGGCUUGAGGGGCUUUCAGCACUAAUCCCGAAAGUAUCGAAAUUUAAUUCGACGUUGAUCUGAAAGAAAAAAAAAAACGUAAAUCCCCAAAUGAAAUAUUACGUGAAACAGAAAGCAAUCGCGCGGAGCGACAUUAAGAAUAAGACGUGUAGACGACGAGCAGGAGCAGUGCAAGUUCGAAAAAAGGCCCCGAGGCCGCGAUAUUGGCGCUCGUUGACAUAUUUACGGCCUCCUCGACUAUUAAGUGGUGAUUUACUAUACGCAUAUCUGGAUGGAUACGUUUUUAUCGGCGGCUAUAUAUCCAGUUGGCUUCUCGGUCUAUUAUGGGUUUUGUGCUCAGCUCGGGGCGCGCGUGAUACGUUUGUCUGCUUUAUGUACUGACUUUAGGAAGUUGAUUUUUUUUAAAUCUUGUAUUAUUGCU